AGCUUUCUGAGUCCGUACAGACAUUUCGUCGGACGCCAACCCAUUAGGGCCGAUCAGACUUCCAAGACAAGUGAAGCU
rnacentral:pre_miRNA from 1 species